rnacentral:rRNA from 1 species
GUGGGGAAUCUUCCGCAAUGGACGAAAGUCUGACGGAGCAACGCCGCGUGAGUGAAGAAGGUUUUCGGAUCGUAAAGCUCUUUCGUUAGGGACGAACGUGCUCUUUGUGAAUAAUGAGGAGUAAUGACGGUACCUAAAUAAGAAGCCACGGCUAACUACGUGCCAGCAGCCGCGGUAAUACGUAGGUGGCAAGCGUUGUCCGGAAUUAUUGGGCGUAAAGCGCGCGCAGGCGGGAUAUCAAGUCUGUCUUAAAAGUGCGAGGCUCAACCUCGUGAGGGGACAGAAACUGGUAUUCUUGAGUGUCGGAGAGGAAAGUGGAAUUCCAAGUGUAGCGGUGAAAUGCGUAGAGAUUUGGAAGAACACCAGUGGCGAAGGCGACUUUCUGGACGAUGUCUGACGCUGAGGCGCGAAAGCUAGGGGAGCGAACGGGAUUAGAAACCCUGGUAGUC